rnacentral:lncRNA from 1 species
GAUCCAAUAAUUCCCACUAAUCAACUAAAUUUAAUUGCUAAGUUGAAGUACAUCAAUAAAAUAUCACGAUAGUAAAUUACACAAGAAGCUGAACUGUUAUCACAAUAUCACCUUAUCAAUAUUAUGUUCUUGACUAUUUGGUAACUUAGAAAAUAAACGAUUCCACUCAGCUUCAUUGCUACCUUUUUCACAGAAAUGAAAAUUCAGGGAUGGCAUUUCCUCUUUCCCAGUGCACCAAAAUGAUAUAAAUAUACAAAAAUCUGCUACUCUAAUGUCAAACCAAAAUAUACUUUUCACUAAACCACGCUGAAGAUGUAAUAUGGCGAUCCUCUGUAUUUCCAAAUUGUUUUUAAAUCAAUAUCUGUCUCCCCAACUAAGUUGCAGGUUUUCUCAUAGUCGAGUCCUUUUUUUUCCCCCAUUGUUACUUCCAAGUCUUCAGCUAAGAGGACUAGUUGAUAUAGCUCUAGCUUGGAGAAAAUCCCCUCUACUAUAAAAGAAAGGAUGAGGAAGCACUAUUCAUUUUUGGUAUCUUGCUUUCACCCUUGAACCAGUUUGAAACAUUGCCUCUUCUUGUACCUUCAAUUUUGCACCAUUGAAGAACCAGUUUAGUACUGUUGUGCACUGUUCACGAGUAUAAAUAAUUUUCCACCAACAAUUUAUUUGUUUUCCAAACCCUAGCGGACUCCCCAAAAACUUCUCCCAAUUCUUGCGACUCUCCAUUCUUUUGUUCGUUCUUUUAAGAGAUUAAACCUAAAAUACCUAAAUUAUGAUCCUUUCGUAUUCUUGCUGUGUGUUUUUGUGCAAUUUCUUCGGGUUUGUUCAGUUGUACUAUUGAAUCUGCAAUUUUGUUUCCUUUUCUUUUUCAAUCUUUUCUAUUCCAGUUAAUAUUUAUUAUUAUAAGAGCUUUUCGAAGUGGUCAGUUCAUAUUGAUUUUUGAUAAACCUUUUUCUGUGUUUGUUUCUUCCAGGAAGUAAAAAGUCCUCCAGCCUCGACCAAUGGUAUGUUUUUCUUCGUGUUAUGUUUGACAAUUUGCUUACAUGAAAAUUUAUGAAA